ACACACACACACACACACACACUCACCAUCUUCCUUUCCCUCAAAAAGUUGAUGGCGAGCUUACUCAACUGAACCCACCAAAAAAUUGGGCUACUUGGACUUAUAUAUAUAUAUAUAAACCACAAAAAAUUUAAAAGAAACAAAAGUGAAAGAUAGGCAGACUUUCAUAUCUAGCAGUCCACCAUGACCACCAAACAGACCAUAGCAGAAGCCUCCCCCUCCAUCAACGAACUUCCUAUACGAAAUAUUUUGCUGAAAAAAUGUGGCAUUGCAUUUGGUCUUGUAUCAUUUGAACAAGAAAGUCAGUUCUCUCCAAUCUACAAUUUUCAUCUGUUUUUAUCAGCUUCCAUAAUGCAAUCUGCCAAUAUCUUCUUUGUGAUAGCUGAGCACAAUGUCGUUAUAGAGCACCCUCCUCCAUGUUCCUUACGCGGAGUUCCACGCUUCUUAGAUCGCGAAGAUGAUGUAAAAUCUCUUGCAGAAGCUCUAUCCCUUUAUCCCCUUUCUUCAAGGAGGUGAUGCAAUGCUUGAGAAACUCUCUAUCUGCCUCCAGUGCUUGUAGCCUUUCAUAGACAUGAUCUACUUCCUCCUCAAUUGCAAGCUUCUUGCUUUCAACUUCAAAUUUGUUGACUGAUUUCAGCAAGGCAACAGAAUCAACUCCUUCUGCAUACCCAUUUUGCAUCCCAUCUUCGGUUUCUGCAUCAAUGGCAUCAAAAAGUGGAAGAAGUCUUUUUGCCUUGGCACCGAAGUUUUUUCUUUCUUGAUGAUGCUUUCCAUUCAUUUCCUUGUAAUUACCAUUUGCAACUCCAUUUGCUUCACUGAUAUGAUCCAAAUUCUCAAUGUAGCCAUUUCCAUUUUCUUUGUAUAAAUGUUGUUGCUUCUCUUCAUCACUGAGCGUAAAAAGCUUCUCCUCCAAAACCUUCAGUUGACGCAGAAUGGAUACCCUCUCCACCUCAAAAUUAGCCAAUGACUCUUCCAAGUAUAGAACUGCAUCGACGGGGGUGUUCUGGUCGCCAGUUUCUUUAUGGUUAUCGAAACCAUCUUCUUCUUUCUCUUCAUGAUUCAAGUCAACAGAUAGUCCAUCACUAUCCUCAGCAUUGCUACAAGAUGCUGAGGAAGUUCCACUUGUGCCCCUUUCUUUCCUUCUUUUCAACAUCGUCAAUUUCUCUUUUGCCUCGUAAUCUUGCACCUUCUUUCGAUAUACUUCGAGCUCUUUUUCUAGCUCUGCUCUCUCUUUCUCCCUCUUUACCAUAAGUUCAUUCAAAAGCUGCAAAGCUUCCUGGUCAUAUUCCGAUUGCUCUUCCAUCAUUCUCUGAUACUGCAAAGCUUCCAUCUGCAUUGCAGCCUUUUCUUCUUGAAGCCUGUUUAUCAUUGCCAUUGUCUGGUUCGCAGCCACUGCAGAAGCACUUCUUUCUUCUUCUAAUUCUGCAUAUAAAGCAUUUAAAGCCUUCCUUUCAGCUUUCAAAGCUGAUUUCAACUUCUCAACAGUCAAAACUCCAUCACCUGCUUCAAUGUCACUGAUGACACUUCCAUCCAAAGACUCUUCUGUGCCAGAUUCUUUUCUUUCUAGAAGUAGAAGCUUCUUGUGUAAAUGAUGAAGGCUAUCUACAGAAGUUGGUGUAUCAGGAAUCUUGUCUUCCUCAAUAUCAUUGCUCUCAUGAUCAUCAUAGGCAUGAUAAUUAGCAUUGCCGGUUGAAGGAUCUUCUGUUAUGGACAAACAUGAUGCAGGAACUUCUUCACUUUGAAAAUCUUCAAUUGGUUCAUGAUCAGGAAUCUCUGUCCCUACUGAUAUAUCUGCUUCAAUCUCAUCAAUUUGCAUUUGAAGUACUUCUUCAGACACUUGAUUUUUAUCCGAUUCUAUUUCCUCUUCUGCUGUCUCUGAUCGUUCUUGAACAUUAUCGCCAUUGCUUGUAGGGGUCUGUGUUGAUGGAGCAAUGGCAAACUGUUCGAAGUCCUCCUUCAACAGUUCACAAUCAGCAUGCGCUCCUAAGGAAUUCUCGUUCUCAUUAAAUUCCCUCGACUCAAGCUCAUCAACCAUAUUUUCCUCCUCGCUCUCUUGGAUGGGAAGCAGUGGCACUUUCUCAUCUAAAUUGAUCCUGUCCUCAAAAACCAAUUCAUAUCGUGUCCCAACAUGCUUAUCAAACUCCAAAACAAAAUCUUCAUCACCGCAAUUUUCCUCCUCUCUCUUCUCAUUCCUGUUUGAAAUUUGCUUCUCCAUUCGACUGGAAUCCAUCAAAUCAAUUGGAAUCAAGUGGCAAUCAUCUUGAUCAAUGUAGAAUUCUAGAUGUUGAGGUUGAAUUUCACUGGAAACAUCUUUUUUGCAACCAGCUUUUUGAACCGUCACCGCCUGAUUACAAGAGGGAUCAUUAACUGACACGUUCAAUUCAUCCUUCUCGACUGAUUCUAGCCCUUUUUCCGUUAAUAUUUCCGUUUUACAACUUUCAUCAGGAACCAUUUCCUUGCAAUCGAAGCUAGAAACAAAGCAUGAAAAAUUUUCCUCUGUUUUCUCCUCACAGUUUCUGUCCUCCACUCCCCUGUUUUUAUCAAUCCCCUGUUCUUCCCCCCAGCGAUCACAGACAAAACCUGAUCUUUUUCUAUCAGAAUGAUCUUCUUCAUCAAUUUUAUCAUCAGAUUCUGCUUCCAAAAUAUAAUUUCCUUUAUGGAUAUUAUCUGAAUCCCCCCAAGAAGGCUUCAUCAGAUAGUUAUCCGGACAACAUAAUUUUUUCUCCAAGCAAACACCACAACAAGCACACUUGGAAGUCACUUCAACAUUUUCACUCACCUUAUCGCCACAACAAUCUUGAACGACUCCUAGUUUCUUCAUCCAUGGGAAAAAAGCAAACUUAUUGGAGAAUUCUGCUUGCGGAGAGGACGAGCAAUCCUCGCACAUAUCUUGCGAUUCAGCUAGUUUUCGAUGAUUUGAGCAAAAACCCAGUUUGGAAAUCUCCAUGGCAUGAGCUUCACACACAUGAGAUCUAUAAGAAUUCUGAAACUUUGCAGGCUCAAAGUAGUGAUCAAGCCUAGAACACCAAAGGCAGGGCCUUUUAAGGCCAAAGUAGUCAGCAAACUUGAUGAUCAAAUAAGAAAACAGAGAAUUUAGAAGGAGAAGAACGAUCAAAACCCAUUCAAGCAUAGCAUAGACUAAAAUAAGGGUAAUCUUGUUGGUUUUUCUGUGCAGCAUGGUUGCAAACUUGUUGGCAGCCAUGGCUGGUUGUUCUGUUUCUUGUUCCUUGCUAUGUACAAAGAAAGAGAGGGAGGAUUAGAGCUUUGAGAAUUUCAAAACAACACAAGAGAAAUCAAAGAAGACAUUAACUGUAUUCAAUAAGAAAAAGAGAGAGAGAUUGAAGAAGAACAGCAAGAGUGACGUUAGAUGAGAAACGUAGAAGCGUUUUCAGUGAGAGAAGGAGCGCGUAGAAGAAUAGAAGAAAUAGAUGGAGAAGUGAUUUUAUUUAUCGGGGUUGAAAAGGCAGCUUGAAUAGGAUUCACAGCCAAAUGAGACUUUAUAUGGUAGAGGAGAAUGCUAAAAC
rnacentral:misc_RNA from 1 species